GUAUCAUAACAGCACACAGAUUCUCAAAGCACAGUCACUCACCAGUCACCACACUAUUGUAUACCUUCUCUUCUCUUCCCGUUUUUCUUCAUUUGGCAAAGUGAAUACACUCAAAGUUCUUCAACGAAAUUCUCUCAUCAUAGGUACAGAUCCGACGACCUCUGGAUAUUGAUCCCUGUGAUUCUUUCUUCGCUAACAUCAUCGGAGAUUUGAGGCUGAUACAAAACAAUGGGGUAUAUAUACAUCCAAGGAGCCUCAACUUAUACAGGCUGAUACAAAACAAUGGGGUAUAUAUACACCCAAGGAGUCAUUGAGGACUAGUCCACAACUACAAGAUGGUAAGGCUGUCACUCUUGAUGACAAGAAACAAAGAGCUCUCUUUUACUACUUUGUGGAAGCAGAAACAGACCACAUUUCUAAGCCUUUUGUUUUGUGGAUCAAUGGAGGUUGAUAUUAGAUUAGCACCUGGGACUUGUGCUAUGGAAGCUGCAGGCAAUCUAUCCAUCUCUCUGUAUUGGAUGUUGUCACCAAUCACCCUCUAACCGCUGAUAAAAGACAAAUCUUGGAGCUCCAAUUCUUAAGCUGUCACUCUCCUGGACUUUCUCCUAAUUGAAACCACCUAGGCAUGCAUUUCUCACUUCCUUUUUGAGUUCACAAAAGGGCACGUUCCUUUUAACAUGGCACAUCAAAUUAUAUGCUCAUAUUUUUUUAAUCUUUUCUGUUUAUUAGAUCAUCCGAUUUUUCUUCCAUGAUUUAUUUGCUGAGAUAUAUCUUUUGAUUUUUAUUUUUGAAUUUGUAAAUAUACCCAAGGGUUGAAGUGAGACAACAAAAAGAAGAUGACCAGUAUCUGCAUACCAAUGAAAGAUUACGUGAUGAGCAAUCAGAGCAAUCACAUUUAAGAGAGAUAUAAGAACGGUGCUGCGAAGAUUUUCAAUCAUAAGUUUUCAAAACACAGCAACAUCUAAGAUGGUACCAACCUUAACUGAAGUUGGACAAGAUUCCUAAGUCGAAUGACUAAUAUGUGGGUUCUUUACGGCUGGUACAGUGGACUCAACAUCAGAGAAUGCUAUAAUAAUUGUUCAGCGAUCAACUUUUGUAGCAAUUCACUCUGUCUUUCUGAUGAUUCACCCAUGAAGUUAUAGUUUUUUUGAUCAUGUUUGAAUUUUACUCUCCUAUAAAAGGGAGUUCGAAAGCGGGUCAACAUGUUUCCUUGUGCUGUCAGUUUCAGUUCAAUCGUUUUAAUUAUUAUGUCAAUUAUGUAUUAAAAAAUUAAUAAUAUUUAAUACAAACAAGUAAAAUUAAUAUUUUUGACAUGUA